rnacentral:rRNA from 1 species
AGGUGCAGCGUCGGAUUCAUUACAUCCGGGGGGUAGAGCUACUGGAUGCUUGCGGGCCCGUACUGGGUACCAACAGCAACCAAACUCCGAAUACCCGUGAUGCGUAUCCCGGCAGUGAGUCGGCGGGGGAUAAGCUCCGUCGUCGAAAGGGAAACAGCCCAGAUCGUCGUCUAAGGUCCCCAAGCGUGUGCUAAGUGGGAAAGGAUGUGGAGUCGCAUAGACAGCCAGGAGGUUGGCUCAGAAGCAGCCACCCUUGAAAGAGUGCGUAACAGCUCACUGGUCUAGUGGUUCCGCGCCGACAAUGUAGCGGGGCUCAAGCACACCACCGAAGACGCGGCAGUAGCUUUGCUACUGGGUAGGAGAGCGUCCCAUGCGGGGCGAAGCGGCGGCGCAAGCCCGCCGUGGACCGCAUGGGAGUGAGAAUGCAGACAUGAGUAGCGAAAGACGGGUGAAGAUCCCGUCCGCUGGACGACCAAGGGUUCCAGGGCCACGUUCAUCGUCCCUGGGUGAGUCGGGUCCUAAGGCGAGGCCGACAGGCGUAGUCGAAUGGACGAACGGGUCGAUAUUCCCGUACCGGCAUGCAACCGGCAAAACCGAAUCCGCGAGUACUAACCUCCGGGUCCGGGCUCACGUCUCCUUCGGGAGCCGGAUGCCCUGGCCUGUUGGGACCGUAACGGUAGUAGGUCAGCGCGGGAGUGACGCAGAAGGGUAGCCGGCCGCGGAGGUGGUCUUCCGUGGUCAAGCACGCAGCCCGUCCCACAGGCAAAUCCGUGGGGCGCGUGGGCGAGGUGCGAUGAUGGGCGCCGCAGGGCGCGAUAUCCGGUGAUCCCGGCUGCCGAGAAAAGCUUCGGCGUGAGGCGGCAUGCCGCCCGUACCCCAAACCGACACUGGUGGUCAGGUAGAGAAUACCAAAGCGAUCGAGCGAAUCCUGGUCAAGGAACUCGGCAAAUUACUCCCGUGCCUUCGGUAUAAGGGAGGCCCCUGAUGGUGAACCGGCUUGCCCGGGGAGCUGUUGGGGGUGGCACAGACCAGGGGGUAGCGACUGUUUACCAAAAACACAGGAGCGUGCGAAGGCGCAAGCCGCUGUAUACGCUCUGACGCCUGCCCGGUGCCGGAAGGUUAAGAGGAUCCGUCAGGCCUCGGCCGAAGCGGUGAAUUCAAGCCCCGGUAAACGGCGGUGGUAACUAUAACCAUCCUAAGGUAGCGAAAUUCCUUGUCGGGUAAGUUCCGACCUGCACGAAUGGCGUAACGACUUCCCCACUGUCUCGACCAGGAGCUCGGCGAAAUUGCAGUACGAGUAAAGAUGCUCGUUAAGCGCAGAAGGACGAAAAGACCCCGGGACCUUUACUAUACCUUGGUAUUGGCAUUAGGCGCGGAUUGUGUAGCAUAGGCGGGAGGCUUCGAAGCGGGUGCGCCAGCAUCCGUGGAGCCGCAAGGUGAAAUACCGCUCUGUUCUCGUUUGAUGUCUCACCUCGACCAGUCAUCCUGGUCAGGGACAGUGCCUGGCGGGUAGUUUAACUGGGGCGGUUGCCUCCCAAAGAGUAACGGAGGCGCUCAAAGGUUCCCUCAGCCCGGUUGGCAAUCGGGUGUUGAGUGUAAUCGCACAAGGGAGCUUGACUGCGAGACCGACGGGUCGAGCAGGGACGAAAGUCGGAGAUAGUGAUCCGGUGCCGGCGCACGGGCGCGGCAUCGCUCAACGGAUAAAAGGUACCCCGGGGAUAACAGGCUGAUCAUUCCCAAGAGUCCAUAUCGACGGGAUGGUUUGGCACCUCGAUGUCGGCUCGUCGCAUCCUGGGGCUGGAGCAGGUCCCAAGGGUUCGGCUGUUCGCCGAUUAAAGCGGCACGCGAGCUGGGUUCAGAACGUCGUGAGACAGUUUGGUCUCUAUCCUCUGCGCUCGUUGGAAUCUUGAGGAGACCUGCCCAUAGUACGAGAGGACCUGGGUGGACGAACCUCUGGUAUGCCGGUCGUCACGCCAGUGGCGCGGCCGGUUGGCUACGUUCGGAAGGGAUAACCGCUGAAAGCAUCUAAGCGGGAAGCCUGCUCCAAGAUAAGCAUUCCAUAGGACUACGGGUCCUUGA